UUUGGUUUCUUAUUUUCUUGAUUUUUGGAAUAGCUGUUGCAUAGAAUUGUUUAAACAUAGUAAAUUAUUGGUCGAUCACUCUCUGUUCCUUUAUCCAGAAAAAUCUAGGACGAAUAUCUUAUUACAAAAGAAAGUGAUUAUAAACUACCAGUUGACUUCCCAACCCUUCGAACUAGACAUUAUGGGGUGCAGACGUUCACCACAUGAUAUUGAAAAUAAAAUUGGUAUGCUACAACAUCGAUCCAAACGCUAUAGUUUGACACUAAAAAAGUAAAAUCAAAAUUCUUGUUUCGACAAGGUUAGACAUUAGAAUCUGAUUCAAGAACACAAGGGAUCGACUUGAAAAGGGAGGGAUCGAGCAUGAUUUUCAGAUAAUACGCUAUUGAUACUAAUCUUUCUACUGCAUGAUUUUCAAAAGGUUUGCAUUAUUUGAAAAUUUCAUUAUUUUUAAAAGGUUUAUUAGUUGGAGUUCAUAAUGAUUUUCCGAAGGGAUAAGUUGGAUUAAACUUAUUUGUUUCUACUAAAUAGUCCAAAAUUACAUAUGUACAAUAUGUUCCUCAAGGGGACCAAUUAGCUUAGGUUUUCCGUCUUGCAAUUAGGGACUGAUAAGACAAGUGGGUGAGGGCUUGCUAGAGCAAAGGCAUUUAUGGGAGUUAUGAAUGCAGUUGCAUUAAAUUCUCAACUGAAGCCGCUUUUCCUAACUAGGAUUAUAGGUUCAUGAUCUUUAAGCUAUAAAUAAGUUUAGUUUAUUGUGAAUGUUAAUGCAUUAUUUCUUCUUUACUUGCAAUUUUAUAGUAAAAAGGAACUAUUAACCAGUAAUCGAUAUUGCAAAUUAUGUUACUGUGUUUGAUGUUGUUGUAUUAGUACUCUGCUGCAUUUUUGUUCUGGUAACCAAAAAGAAUAAAGUGCCUAAUCAUAUUUAUAUGGUUCUUUAUAGAAAUAGCUCAUAUUAGCAAAGCGAAUUGUAAUAUGAAGCAAUAACUGUAGAAUUAUAGUUGGAUUUAAUAGUUAGUAUCGUAAAACUGAUUAAUUGAUAAUAUUUUCCAUUCCUGUUUUCAAUUUUAUUCUCAACAUCCCCCUGCCAAAAAGUUUUUUGUGUUCUGCUUCUGGCUGCAAUGAAAGAGCACCGAUCUAUAUUUAGCAUAUAAACUUCACAAAGUAAUUUUAUUGUCUUACAAUUUGAUGAUCUUUAAGCUAUAACUAAGUUUAGGUCAUUGUCAGCUUUCCAACGUGAUUUACUAUGGUGUACGCUCAUUAGAUUCGGUAAGAAUCACUUAAGUUUUAUUACUUUUGUUGUAAUUUAUUACUGGAAAUAAUUUAAUCCUUUUAAUAGACUUGGCCAAGGAAAAAGCACAGGUCUGUAUUUAGUGUAUAAAUUUCAUAAAAUAAUGUCAUUGUCUUAUAAUUGAUAAUUGACAAUCUUUAAGCUAUAAAUAUUAGGCGAUUGUCAAAAUUAAUGCAUUAGUUGCUCUUUACUUACAUUUUAUCCUACAAUCUGUGUAUUUAUUGUCAUUAUAUGAGUUCUCUGCUGCAUUCUUAUUUUGGUAGCUAUAAAGAAUAGAGUACCUAAUGAUGUUGAAACAAAGGAGAAUUUUGAUGCAGCUAAAGGGCUUGACAAUAUGCUUAACAACUGAACAUUUUUCCCGCUCAGCUGAAGUUAUUUCUUCAGUGGCUUUGCAGUGCCAAAUCUUCAAUUGCUAAUAAAAAGUUGUACUUAUCUUUGUGGUUCAGAUUUUCUAACAGAAAUAAAGCUAGAACAAGAUCAAGAUCACUAGCACUGAUCCAAACUCCUUGACAUCAGUUUCAUGUAAAACUGAUCAAUACUACCAUGGUUGUUGACAUAACCUUUAUUAAGAAAAAAUCAUGUUCUAGACCAAGUAAGUCAACAUGUGCUUCUACUGCUACAUAUGGUGACGGUGAGUAUCUUGCUUGCUCUCUUUCUGGCAUUUCAUUUUUUUGCUCUAAAUGAACUCAAUUUUAAUUUGCCGAUAAUUGUUUUCUGAAAAUAGGUUGACAUACUCCUAUAAACAUUGAUAUUUUCUACCUUAUCAAAAAAAAAAAAUAUUGAUCUUUCCCCGAGCAAUGCGCUACGUCCUACAAUGUUGAAGAACCGAUUUGCUGACACCAUCAUCAAAGUGAAACGGAAAUCUCUUUCACUUGAUGAGUGUAUUUCGUAUCACAUAGUUGAAUCAGCAUGAUAAGUCUAAUCUGCAGUCUGAAAUAGCCUAUCUCUUAUCCAACAAUAUUCUUUCGUAUUCGACAGUAAUAGCUUUAAUGCAGAUUUUCCUAAUCGCCUGUGUUGUUUUCUUUUGUCAUGCUUUAACUCAAGCUUGGUCUCUUUCAUCCAUAGUAUUAUAUUCUUGUGUCAGCAUCAUACUAAUUGAGUUUGUUCAUCCUUACGUCAUAGGUGUCUUGUUAUACUAAAUGGCAAUUUGAAGAAUUUGUUUAUUGAAGCACAUAUUGAUUUUGACAUUAUAUUAGAAGUAUUAGUAUAAUAAUCGCAUAGAAAAACUGAUAACUAGAUUUCUUUUUAUUUCUAGGUAGGUUGAAGAUUGCACUGGACAUACUACUUUUCUUUCCUUUUCUUGUUCUUUGUACUGAAAUUUCUGCUACUUCUUUCUUCUGUUGAAGUGUAUUCUGUUCGGUAAAUAUACGGUUUUACAGUGAGUGUAGCAUUAAAGUUGUAGGUUAAUGGACUUUCAAAUGAGAAAAAGUCCAAUAGUCCAUUCUUUCUAAUGUUCUGCAUGUUUAUUGACUUCAGUUGGUCUGCUAUAAAAAGGUAUACCACAGAUGUGAAGCUCUAUAAUCAGGAAUUCAACAAACACGUUUUGUAGAGAAAAAGUGAUCAUGUGUCACCAACCAUUUGCUACUAUAUUCUGGUAGUAAUAACGUUAUUGCAGAUCUAUGGAUGUUCCUCUAAGAUAACCCUAAUAAUAUUAUUGCAUAUCUAUAGAUGUUUCUUUAAGACCACUUUUCAUUUCGUUUCACUGUGAGAAACUUUAUUUCUCAUGAUUUGUUAUUGUUUUAUUCAUUUCAUUUGAUAGGGUAAUCUUUAUGGUCAAGAUAUUACCAGUAUAAGGUAUGAAAAAAAAUCCCUUUAGAAAUGCAAGGUAGUUAGACUUUACACAAUAGACCAACUGUGCUUCAGCUCUGCCCUUGAUCCUAUAUAUAAUGGAAGCUUAAUGUACCAGUUCGGUAUUUAUUGUUCUACUCUGUAAACUGCAAACAUGAUAGGAUUAUAUUUACAAUCUUAUAGAAGUUUGUCGCCUUCUGCUUUCCCUCAGAGUGGUACCUCAGAGUGGUAUCUGAGCCUGAAAAAUCUACAGAGUAUUAUAUCUGGACCGGGAUCACAGAGUUUAUACAUUUAUGACAAAAGGCCUUUCCAAUUGUACGAUUGCUUAACAAAUGCAAUCCUUGCAUCAAGCAUUGACAACUAUCCUGAAGAAAACAUUUUGAAUACAUUAGAACCAAGUGACUGAGUUGGCUGCUGGGCUUCAUACUGGACAAGUAGAGGAGAAAUAUCAAAGUUUGUGCUUGAUUUCAUAAUUCAUGUGCAACCAUUUCAAGGUUUCACCUCAAGUUCUAUUUUCGGUGAUGUUAUGGAUUUGUUCAUUCGGCUUGGGUUUUUUUCUCAUUAACCAGAAAUAUUAUAAUUUUGUAACAACAUAUUUCCAGUUUGGUUUUCCUCUUUAUUCAACAAAAGCUGUGAGAUUCAGAGUCGGA